rnacentral:rRNA from 1 species
UACGUAGGGACCAAGCGUUGUUCGGAUUUACUGGGCGUAAAGGGCGCGUAGGCGGCGUGACAAGUCACUUGUGAAAUCUCCGGGCUUAACUCGGAACGGUCAAGUGAUACUGUUGUGCUAGAGUACAGAAGGGGCAAUCGGAAUUCUUGGUGUAGCGGUGAAAUGCGUAGAUAUCAAGAGGAACACCAGAGGCGAAGGCGGAUUGCUGGGCUGAUACUGACGCUGAGGUGCGAAAGCGUGGGGAGCAAACAGG